GGAGGAAACCCAGAGUGUGCGACCCUUGUUCACUCCGGGCAGGUGUCUCAUGGCGUGUGGCUGGCCUGGAAAUCGCUUUGUACGCUAGAUCAUUGCUAGAUUGGUGCAAGCAAGAAUUAAAGAAGCUUAGCGGUGAAGGCCACAGCAGGACGGAAGAACGGGUGGUUGGUAGACCCAUUGAGCCAUACAAGCAGGGCCUUGUCACGUUUUUUUUUUAUUAUUGAUAUCCACCUAAUCAUUGAACUUGUGUGCAUGCCUGAGAAUCACUGUGUGUUGAACCUUGGUUUGCUGUGUUUUGUUUUGUUAACAGAGAACAACCUUUGCAUCCAGCUUUGAUAUAGCUUGAGACCUUAAACAUUCCUCCAAUCUAGUGUUAAUAAACCUGUUCGAUUUUUUUUUUGUAUAAACUUGACUCUGGUGUUUUACUUAAUGUAAACUAAGGUGAACCAUACUACAAAAAUGUGGCGCUGCGAGCAGGGUCACCUUGCAUCAGAGUCAUUAUUUGUUAUACUGGAUGCACCAGGUGGGAGGUAGUGAUAGCGCACGCACUGGUAUAGUAUAAUAUAAAACGUGACAAGGUCCCGAAGACCACGGGUUGGCGAACAGUGUGCAGCCCGGAGCAAGAGCAAGGCAAAAGGUCAGUCCAGGACUUGGAAGAGCAGCUGAAUGAACUGAGGAUAAGACUGGCCACUGAACUGGCUGUGAAAGAGGCUCUGACUGGCUCCAUGGGGAGGUACAGACUCGAAGGUCACGGAGAGAAGAGGUCAGGGCCGGCCCGUGGCAGAAACGGUCUAUGCGGUUGUUUAGGGCCACACGACCACGAGGGGGGGCCACACAAUGUAAUGUUUAUCUAAGGUAAAUAACGUUAUUUUAGCAAUUACGUUAUUCAUCCCCUAUCGCGUAAC